rnacentral:rRNA from 1 species
UACGAACUGUGCAAACGUUAUUCGGAAUCACUGGGCUUACAGGGUGCGUAGGCGGCCUGACAAGUAGGGUGUGAAAGCCCCCGGCUCAACCGGGGAAUGGCGCCCUAAACUGUCGGGCUGGAGUGAGAUAGGGGUGUGCGGAACUUCCGGUGGAGCGGUGAAAUGUGUUGAUAUCGGAAGGAACGCCGGUGGCGAAAGCGGUGUACUGGGGCUGGUCUGACGCUGAGGCACGAAAGCCAGGGGAGCGAACAGG